rnacentral:rRNA from 1 species
CAAACAAUCCUGAACCCUCAUGUUGUUCACACCAUGACUGAUCGACUUACAUCAACUGGGCAUCAGGAUACAGGAUAGGAUGGUUACCACGUGCUUUUGAGGACAUAAAUAGGUAGACCUUCGGUUUUAUUCCCCUCUCAAAAAGACAAAAUCUUUUUCUCCUCCUCCUUUGUACACCUGUUAUUUUCCUACCCCUUCAAAAGGGGUGGGAACGGUUAAAAGUAUACCCUUCCUCAGAACACACCACGUUCGGUACUUAGGUUCUGUAAGACUCCACCUUGAAGUCGCGCCCGCUAGUCACGUCUCACGGCCAGGGUUGUACGUCCGCUCGGGGUCUUGGAUAGUGGGUAGCAACGUCCGUCGGCCGCAGUGCUGGUAUGGGUACUCCGGUGGUCGGCGAGGCAUGAACUGCGGAGGAUCUCGGCGGUGGUGGUGGUGACGGUGACGGUGAGGACGCUCUCGCGUCCGGUCGAAGAGCACCUGUGGUUUCGCCGGACUUAGCUUCCGCGGCAGCCACGUUGCCCGCUGCAAACGGACCGGCGGCUGGCUCCUCCUCUUGCGCAGGUAGUCGGUUACGGACAUGCCAGGGGCACCGCGGGGAGUCGCUUCCGACGGACACAAGCACUCGUAGACGGGUCGCACUUUUG